GACGAACGCUGGCGGCGUGCCUAAUACAUGCAAGUUGAGCGCUGAAGGUUGGUACUUGUACCAACUGGAUGAGCAGCGAACGGGUGAGUAACGCGUGGGGAAUCUGCCUUUGAGCGGGGGACAACAUUUGGAAACGAAUGCUAAUACCGCAUAAAAACUUUAAACACAAGUUUUAAGUUUGAAAGAUGCAAUUGCAUCACUCAAAGAUGAUCCCGCGUUGUAUUAGCUAGUUGGUGAGGUAAAGGCUCACCAAGGCGAUGAUACAUAGCCGACCUGAGAGGGUGAUCGGCCACAUUGGGACUGGGACACGGCCCAAACUCCUACGGGAGGCGGCAGUAGGGAAUCUUCGGCAAUGGACGAAAGUCUGACCGAGCAACGCCGCGUGAGUGAAGAAGGUUUUCGGAUCGUAAAACUCUGUUGGUAGAGAAGAACGUUGGUGAGAGUGGAAAGCUCAUCAAGUGACGGUAACUACCCAGAAAGGGACGGCUAACUACGUG
rnacentral:rRNA from 1 species